AGAAAAGAGAAAGGAAAAGAAAAAGGAAAAGAAAAAAAGGACAUCCUGGAAACUCCCACUGAAUCAUCAGGUGAAGGUAAGAAGCUGAAACAUUAACAUGAGCUGCCCUUUCUCACACACCUGAGGAUAACUAAGUUAUUGGGGCUUAUGUGUCCCCCUGCACUGGCCUGUGAGCUCCUCUUUGGGCACCAACCCUCUUAGGACCUUGUUCUCUGCACCUAAACAGUUCCUGGCACAUGUGGGUGCUCGAUAAAUGAAUAAAUGCAUAAACACAAGCUGUUUGUCUGCACAGAGGUGACUGGUAGAACUAAAAAUGUCUCAGAAGUACCUAACUUGGGGGUCAGUCUAUGAUACGUGUGAAUGUGCCUUUAUUUAGGUAAUGUCGAAGACUUUAAAAUGUGCCAUGGUCAGUAAGGGUUAAGAAAGUCCUGCCUGAUACCUAACGACUUGCUUUUUAGUUUUUUUAUCGCACACACAUACGAAUAGCCGCACACCUUCGUUUUGGAUUGUAGCUCAUGCUUAGAAACCUUUUGCAAAUUUUCAGCGUUGUUACAGACCAUUUCCCGUAGGGUCCCUUAGGGGAAGCCAAUUGCGUCCUAGUUUAGAAAUGCCCAUUGUUCAGCGGGGCCACAGUACACAUGCUUUCAAAAUUCAAGGGCAUAGUUACAAAUAAUUACCAUCAAAGGAUUUAAAAUGAAGGACAUUGUCGCUAAAUAAGAAACUAAUGACUGAGCAGAGCUGUGUAAUGUAAUUAUACUUAAGAUGGGCCUUCUGAUGAAUCACAGAGGAAUCUUUGUGCUGCCUUGUGUCUCCAUAAAUGCACUUAACUGCUAUUGACAGUAAUAGGAGGGAGUCAAAUAUAAAAAGCUUUUUUUUUUCCUUUUCCAGUUUCUAGAGGGAGUUAGAAAGAAAAAGUACAUUUUUAAAAAGGAUGCUUUGCCCAGUACCUCUGAAUACUUGACAAUUAUAUGAAAUUAUUAAACGAAAGUCACUUAAAUGAAAACCAAGCCCACUGCUAAUAAAUUCAGGGUUCUCUAUCAUUAACAACCCCCUGAAUCUUAUGGUCAGUUUCCAUUCUGCACAGCAAAUCUCUUAAACUUACAUAUUAAGUGUUUCUAUGAACCUAAUUUUUAUUUACUUAAUUCAUGCCUGAAGCCUUCAUUAGAAGUGUUUUCUUAUUAAAAUCGGGGGUGAGCCUGGCUCCCUGCUGUACAAUUUUAACACAUUUGAAAGGGAAAAUGUUUUAUUGAUUAAUAUCUGAUACUUAGGCAAAGCCAAUAGUGAUGCCUUCCCUUUGAAUAUUUCUUGACGGUUUUCAUCUUGAUUGCGCAUACAUCAUCCCAGCUACUCCUCAUAAUAAAUUGGGUGAGGGAGGCCUGAGAGGGAGUACAAUCCCACUCUACAAGAUACAAAAACCAUGGCUCCAAGAGUAUAAGUAACUGGCCUAAGAUUGUGUAGCUGAAACACGGAGGCGGUACCACUCCACUGCCUCUCCCUAAAUAAAUUCAAUUAGCUUGUUUGUGCAACAGAGGAUGAUUCAUUAGUUUGCUAAUUGCUCUCUCCUCCAUGGUUCCCUUCUUUAGCAGAUGUAUAAAUAUCUAGGAGGCCCCUUCUGAUGCUCAUUGGUUGAUGAACGUACUGUGUUAUUUCUGUUGGCAAGCACAGUGGUAAAGUGAGAAGGCCUUGAGCCAUGGAGUCACUGAGUUCUUCUUCAGAUCACUGCUUCACUACUUACUAAUUGACAUGGUCUCACUAGCCAGAUUGUGCAUUGCUGCCAUUAGGGACUGCCAAAACUGGCCUGGAGACCUCAUGAUGCACUGAGACUGGGCCUGCUGCUAUUCCAGUGAAAUCAGGUUCUGUCAUAACAGGUUUUCCUUGGGAGAAAAGAGCCAUGGUCAACUAAGUUUGGAACACAGAUUUUAUUUGAGAGUCAGAAGCAUAAGUGGCAAUAAGGACUCUGAGAGCAAGAGAAAUGUGAGCUGUAACUUCACUGGGGCAGCAAGAGACCAUAAUUAUCACACGGGCAGCAAGAUACUAAGGAGUUGACCCUGCAAACUGCAUCAUCCAGGAUCUUUUUGCCCUCUGGCUUCCAGCGUGGUUCAGCCGACAAGAGGAGUGUUACGGGGAUGCUUCAUAGAGGAGGUGGAAUUAGAGCAAAUUCUGAAAUUUUAAUUCCAGUUUGCAAAUUCCCUUCAAUUAAGUCAUGACCUCUUUAUGGACAAAUGUCCACUUGGACCAGCGAGAAAACAGAUGGAAAAUUACCAGCCCAAGUCGGGGCAUAAAAUAGAAGUAUUAAAUGUUUCCUCUUCUGUAUUUUUUUUAAUUGAGGUAAAAUAGUUUGCAACUAUUAACACUUUCUAAUUCCAAAAGGCCUUCAUCAUUCCACAAAGAAUCACUACACCCAUUGAACAGUCAUUGGCCAUUCCCCUCUCCCCACAGCACCUUGCAACCACUAAUCGGCCUUCCGUGUCUAUGGCCUUUAGUGUCUUGCUUCCUUCGCACAGCAUAGUGUUUCAAGGUUCCUCCAUGUUGUAGUAUGAAUCAGUACUUUAUUCCUGAUGAAUAUCCCAUUGAAUAUGUAUGCCACAUUUUAUUUAUGCAUUCAUCUCUUGGUGGACACUGGGUUGUUUCCACAUUUUGGCUAUUGUAAAUAGUGCCGCUAUAAACAUUCGCACAUAAUUUUUUUUAUUUAAAACUUGUCUAUAUGAUAUAUUCAUGUCAUCCGUGACUAGAGAUAGCUUGGCCUCUUCCUUUCCAAUUUGGAAUGUCUUUUCUUUCUUUUUCCAUCCUUGUCGCUCUGGCUAGAACUUCCAGUACAAUGGUGAAUAGAAGUGUCAGGAGCAGACAUCCUUGUCUUGUUUCUGAUCUUAGGGAAAGCUUUCAGUCUCUCACACUGAGUGGGAUUUUCCUAGAUGCACUUUAUCACGUUGAAGAAGUUGCCUUUAUUCCUACUUUUCUGAGUAUUUUUAUCAUGAAAGAUGAUUGAAUUUUGUCAAAUGCUUUUUCUGCAUCAAUUGUGAUGAUUGUGUGGCUUUUUCCCUUUUGUCUAUUAAUAUGGUAAAAUAUAUUGAUUGUUUUUCCUAUGCUGGACCAUCCUUGCAUUCCUGGGAUAGAUUCCACAUGGGUAUGGGAUAUAGUCCUUUAAAUAUGCUGUUAGAUUCGGUUUGCUUGUAUUUUGUUAGGGACUUUUGCACCUAUAUUCAUAAGGGAUAUUGCCCUACCACUUUAUUUUCUUGUGAUGUCUUUGUCUGGUUUUCAUAUCAGGGCAAUACUGGCUUCAUAGAAUAAAGUGUUCCCUCCUUCUAUUUUUUGGAAGACUUUCAGAAGGAUUGGUUUUAUGUCUUAAAACAAACAGUAAGCUCUACCAGUGAAGCCAUCAAGUCUUGAGCUUUUCUUUGUUGGAGGCGUUUGAUUAUUGAUUCAAUCUCCUCAUUUUAGGUCUAUUUAGAUUUUCUAUUUUUCUUCUUGAGUCAGUUUUGAUAGUUGAUGUGUGUGUAGUUUGUGUGUUUUGAGGAAUUUGUCUAUUUCAUCUAGGUUAUCCAAUUUGUUGAUAUAUAAGUGUCCAUUGAUUGAUGAAUAUAUAAAGAAGAUGUGAUUGAUAUAUGCAUAUA